AACGAACGCUGGCGGCAUGCCUAACACAUGCAAGUCGAACGAGACCUUCGGGUCUAGUGCCGCACGGGUGCGUAACGCGUGGGAACCUGCCCUUAGGUUCGGAAUAACUCCCCGAAAGGGGUGCUAAUACCGGAUAAUGUCUUCGGACCAAAGAUUUAUCGCCUUUGGAUGGGCCCGCGUUGGAUUAGCUAGUUGGUAGGGUAAAAGCCUACCAAGGCGGCGAUCCAUAGCUGGUCUGAGAGGAUGAUCAGCCACACUGGGACUGAGACACGGCCCAGACUCCUACGGGAGGCAGCAGUGGGGAAUAUUGGACAAUGGGCGAAAGCCUGAUCCAGCAAUGCCGCGUGAGUGAUGAAGGCCUUAGGGUUGUAAAGCUCUUUUACCCGGGAUGAUAAUGACAGUACCGGGAGAAUAAGCUCCGGCUAACUCCGUG
rnacentral:rRNA from 1 species